GUGCUCACUUCAGCAGCACACAUACUAAGAUUGGAACAAUACAGGGAAGAUUAGCAUGGUCCCUCCACAAGGAUGACAUGCAAAUUUGUGAAGCAUUCCAUAUUUUU
rnacentral:snRNA from 1 species